GACGAACGCUGGCGGCGUGCUUAACACAUGCAAGUCGAACGAUGAUCAGGAGCUUGCUCCUGUGAUUAGUGGCGAACGGGUGAGUAACACGUGAGUAACCUGCCCCUGACUCUGGGAUAAGCGUUGGAAACGACGUCUAAUACUGGAUAUGAUCACUGGCCGCAUGGUCUGGUGGUGGAAAGAUUUUUUGGUUGGGGAUGGACUCGCGGCCUAUCAGCUUGUUGGUGAGGUAAUGGCUCACCAAGGCGACGACGGGUAGCCGGCCUGAGAGGGUGACCGGCCACACUGGGACUGAGACACGGCCCAGACUCCUACGGGAGGCAGCAGUGGGGAAUAUUGCACAGUGGGCGAGAGCCUGAUGCAGCAACGCCGCGUGAGGGAUGACGGCCUUCGGGUUGUAAACCUCUUUUAGUAGGGAAGAAGCGAAAGUGACGGUACCUGCAGAAAAAGCACCGGCUAACUACGUG
rnacentral:rRNA from 1 species